CCUACGGGAGGCAGCAGUGGGGGAUCUUGCACAAUGGGGGAAACCCUGAUGCAGCGACGCCGCGUGAGUGAAGAAGUAUUUCGGAAUGUAAAGCUCUAUCAGCAGGGAAGAAAAAAGACGGUAUCUGACUAAGACGCUCCGGCUAACUACGUGCCAGCAGCCGCGGUAAUCUGUAGGGGGCAAGCGUUAUCCGGAUUUACUGGGUGUAAAGGGAGCGUAGACGGCAAUGCAAGUCGGAAGUGAAAUACCCGGGCUCAACCUGGGAACUGCAUUGGAAACUGGAUGGCUGGAGUGCAGGAGAGGUAAGCGGAAUUCCUAGUGUAGCGGUGAAAUGCGUAGAUAUUAGGAAGAACACCAGUGGCGAAAGCGGCUUACUGGACAGUAACUGACGUUGAGGCUCGAAAGCGUGGGGAGCAAACAGGAUUAGAUACCCUAGUAGUC
rnacentral:rRNA from 1 species